rnacentral:rRNA from 1 species
UACAGAGGUCUCAACCGUUGUUCGGAUUCAUUGGGCGUAAAGGGUGCGUAGGCGGUCGUGCAAGUCGGAUGUGAAAUCUCGGGGCUCAACCCCGAAACUGCAUUCGAUACUGCGUGGCUAGAGUGCUGGAGGGGAGACUGGAAUUUACGGUGUAGCGGUGAAAUGCGUAGAUAUCGUAAGGAAGACCAGUGGCGAAGGCGGGUCUCUGGACAGUUCCUGACGCUGAGGCACGAAGGCCAGGGGAGCAAACGGG